GUCUAAACGCAGUUUUACGUCUAAACGUAGUUUUACGUUUAAAAGUAGUUUACGUCUAAAACACAGUUUUAAAGGGAUCUGAACUUAGAAACUUCGUUCGUAAAAGCGCAGAAGAUAGUUUUGCAGAAUCAAAACGUAAACGUAAACUGUAAUGUAUGAAAACACCGAUUUACGUCUGAAUGCAGAUUCGGAAAGAUCAGCACUUAGAAACUUGUUCGUAAAGGCG
rnacentral:lncRNA from 1 species